AACGAACGCUGGCGGCGUGGAUAAGACAUGCAAGUCGAACGCUGAUUGUGGGGUAGCAAUAUUCUGCAGUCGGAGUGGCAAAAGGGUGCGUAACACGUGGGUCAUUUGCCGUGAAGUUGGGGACAACUCGCUGAAAGGCGAGCUAAUACCGAAUCUGGCUGUAAAGCUAAAGUUGGGGACCGCAAGGCCUGACGCUUCACGAUAAGCCCGCGGCCUAUCAGCAGUUGGUGAGGUAACGGCUCACCAAGGCUAAGACGGGUAGCUGGUCUGAGAGGACGACCAGCCUCACUGGAACUGAGACACGGUCCAGACACCUACGGGUGGCAGCAGUCGAGAAUUUUUCUCAAUGGGGGAAACCCUGAAGGAGCGACGCCGCGUGGGGGAUGAAUGGCUU
rnacentral:rRNA from 1 species